rnacentral:rRNA from 1 species
AGGGGAUUCAACGUUUAUCGGGAUUACUGGGCGUAAGCGCACGCAGGCGGUCUGUCAAGUCGGAUGUGAAAUCCCCGGGCUCAACCUGGGAACUGCAUUCGAAACUGGCAGGCUAGAGUCUUGUAGAGGGGGGUAGAAUUCCAGGUGUAGCGGUGAAAUGCGUAGAGAUCUGGAGGAAUACCGGUGGCGAAGGCGGCCCCCUGGACAAAGACUGACGCUCAGGUGCGAAAGCGUGGGGAGCAAACAGGAUUAGAUACCCCGGUAGUCCCAGU